CUUUCCCAACUGUAUCAGUAAUAGAUGUUUAAUUACAGAAACAUAUAUAGAACCUGGGAAACAUAGGAGAUACAAAAAUGAAAAUGGAAAUCACCUAUCCAUUCACCAUGUGGUGCCAUAACUGCUAAUAUACUGUUCUAUUUUCUGUCACUAUUUCCCAUGUAUGUUGUUUUGUAUUUUUCAAGUAGAAUUAUGGUUUUCUGAAGGCAUAUAUUGAAAACUUUCCAGUCUAAAUCUGCAUGGGAGUGGAAAGAUAACCACAAAAAAAAAAAAUAAAAAAAGGCAUCAAUACAUUUGAAAAGCAGAGUUUUAUCCAUUGAAUGAAUGAAUGAAUGAAUGAUCAUUAAAGUUACACUUCUCAUUAUAAUCUGAUGAUCGGUUACCAAGAUCCGGUGUUAAAAAAAAAAGAGUAAAAUUCAUUCUGUUACUAUGCCAUAAAUUUGUCAUAGAAGUCCACUGUUACUUCUUCUUCUAUAUUUGUAUACGAAGACACACCCUCUGCCUGGAAUUUCAGUUUUAAAUUAUGAGUCUAUAGUAUUCUGUCUAUAUUCUGUAAGUUACCCUUGUACCAUCUGUACAAGGACAGUUCCAAGGGGACAAUGUGAUUAUGAAAUGUGUUACCUAUGCAAAAAAUAAAAUAAAAUAAAAUGAAAUAAAAUAAGCUUCUGUUAAAUCUAGAAAAAGAUCAAGCAGUUGCCUGUGAGUUUCAGUCUAUCAGAGCCAAGCCAGGCAUUUGAGGAGGGAUGGUUGUUUACCUGACUGAGCUAUCCACAAGAGAGGGUCUAAAAGCUAAAAGAGAAGUCAUUUAUGGAAUGACUUCUAAGUUUAAGACACAGUCCACUUUAGCUUAAAAUAAACUUUAUGUUCACCACUUGAGAAACUCUCUUUGUACCUGAGCAGAUUUCAAGUUCCAUAACAUGACACUACUAACCCUUAGAUUUUCCAAAACAGCUAAGUUUUCAAGAUUAUACUGUCUUCUUCCUCUCCACUGAACAUACAUGCAAAUAUUCAAUGGAUUUUUAGAUGUUUUUUUAUCAAAAUAGCAUAUGCCUCAACCAAAACAAAGCUAAGUUUAUACAGCUAGUUACAGCAGGAAAUACUGGCUGUUAACUUGGAAGGGUUCUGUUGGAAAGACUAAAGAUAAUCUUCAAAUUAUUCUAAAAUAGAAGUUGACUGUAACCAUGCCUUGCUUCAUCUACUUGACUCUUUCUUCACUGAUCAGACAGUCCUAGUAAGGGAAAGAAUCUUAAAACUGUAAUAAGAGUAGCAUAAUUCAAUGACAGAAGAAAAGAUAAUAAUAAACCAAAUCUGCAAAUAUUUAAAUACUAAAAACAUUAAACAGAAAAAAAGAUCAGGAAGGGAAAGUCAAGGGACUAUAAUUGGGAACAAUAAAAGGUAUGCAUUUAUAGUUUUAUUCAUCCGAGGAAUUAAGGUAGAAUUAUAAACUGUGUGACACGCCAUCACCCUACCUAACGUCCAUCAUUGAACAUGGAAACAAAGGUACUGAAAAGUUCACUGAAUUGGCCAAAAAUCAAGCAGCAAGUAAAGAUAAGGGCCCCAGUUUUUUGUCACUCUGGUUAAGAGAUUAUUAUGAUGCUCUGUAGUCACAGCAUCAAUGAGUGUCAUCUGAUAGUUUGCUGAGACUUUAGUGGGUGUUGACUCUUGGUAGAUCCUGCAAAGAAACCUCAAGCCAAAAGCAGCAAUCACUUAGACAUAUAUAGACACACACACACACACACACACACACACACACACACACACUCAUAUGCACAUGUGUCAUUUACUAACCUUUCAACCAUAUGGAGAAUAGACAAUGAAGGAGUUAAAUACCUUUUUACUGAUUCUAUCCCACCCACCCUGGAAGUCCUGCUAUGCUCAUUCCCACUGGAAGGUACCGAAUCACUGGUCAAGGUGAUAUUGACCUUGAUAUCAUAUUCAAGGUGAUAUCAUAUUCAGAAAUAUGAAGUGUCAGAUGUGGCAAUAACCAGGGAAGUAAGGCUCAGGAUAAAGAAAAUAGAAAAGGGAAGAAGGAACUAUUACCACUGCAUUUAAAAUUGUACAGCAGGUCCCAAAAUUCCCUCCCUUCCUUUAAAAAAAAAAAAAAAAAAAAAACUAUAACCCUAAAAUGUACCAUUAGCCAGAAAUUUGUUUAUUUAAAAUAUAUUCACCAUCUUCAUUCUACAGGAUUUAAAGCAGUUUUCCUUAAAUCAAUAUAAGUGUUUCUUAAAUAGAUGUUUAGAUGAAAAAUUAAGUUACAAAAUACAAACUGGCCCCUUUUGCACCUACACAAGCUGGCAGAAAAAUACCUCAGUCAGCAACAAUUUGGGAUUCAGAAACAUCAGGUACGUACUGGUUAAAGGAUAACUGGAGAAAAAAGAGGAAAUGCAAAUCUUUGCAACUGGGGCAUUCUAAUUUCUCACACUGAGAAAUCAAACUUGGAAGCUCAGUCACAGAGCCUAAGAAAAUUCCUCCCACAUUUCCAGUAGGAAGUAUCUCUAAGAGGAGCCUGCUAAACUCUUCGAGAAUGAAACUGAUCGGUUUUUUAACAGAAAAAUUCAUUACCUUAUUGCAAAACUUCCCCAAAGCAAAAUGAUAAUAAUGCAUAUCCUCCAAAACUUCCUUACACACUAAAUGUUAAAAUCAGACAAAAUUUGUUUGCAGAUGACUAUCUUUACCAAGAAUUACCUUGAAAUGCUUAUCCACUAAAUUCUCAUUAACUACUCUCUUAAGCUGAAUUUGAAAAGCCAUCAUGCUAUCGAAAGUGUCAAAUGGAUAAAGAGCUAAAACAGAAAUCAGAAACUUUAAGCCAAAUUUUUAGCUCCACAGGUUAGAGAAAAAGAAUAUCCAAUCAAAGCACCAAGCUUCACCAAGGGCAGCUUUUCUGAAGAUCCUUCUUCACCUCAGAAUCGAGCUACACAGAGGUCUUGUCAUAUUAACCUCAACAAGACUCAAUUUGUUAACAGAACAAUAAUACUACACAUGUUCUGUAGAAACGCAACUUUCAAAACACCAGCAAGAAAUUUGGAUACAAAUAAAUAUUUUCACAAACAUACACUACAUUAAAGGUCGAGAGUUUUCUUUUUCUCAAGGCUUAAAGAUUAUGAUAUGUCGCCAAAGAAACACACACUCGGCUGGGAAUCUGGAGACGGGGUUACAGUUCCAGCUUUUGGCAUUAAUAUCCUCUGUUUCUUAGGUAAGUCACCUCAUUUCUCUUCCCCUGAGUUCCCUGAUCUCUAUAAUGAGCAGGACAGAGUCCACAACUGCUGAAGCAGCAGCUUCCUGAUUUACCACCUAUAACUCUUUAUGUGUAUAGAUACAUAAACACAUACCUUUGCUGAAUGAGACACUACAAACACAUGGCCUUUUGUUUGUCUAGGCUUUAUACUCUAUUCCUAGUCCUUUUUUUUUUUUUUUUUUUUAAUCAUUCUGUCUACCAGUGUUAACUAUUGUUCACAGGAACCAAGGUAGUGCUAAUUACAAUAGCUGACACAUAAGUGCUUACUAUGUGCCAGGUACUGUGCUAAGCACUUUACAUAUAUUAACUCACUUCUUCCUCACCAAAGCCCUGUGAGGUAGAAACCAUCAUUCUUCCCAACUUUAGACAUGAGGAAACUGAGAUACAGAGCAAUUUUGUAACUUGCCCAUCCCACAGUCAUAAGAUUCACACAUGGAGAAGCCAGGAUUUGACCCUAAGCAUUUUGGCCCUGGAGCCCUUCCUGCUUACCCACCACCCAGAGAGUGAGUCUAUGGUGGGGAAAGGUGAAGUGCAACAGAGUUCAUCUGCAAAAUGGUGCUGGGGGCACAAAAAUGUCCUUGAACUGUGAAUUCUGUCAGGAACAAAUGGUAGCUCAUGAGUUACAAGCCCAACAUACACACUGGCCACUGACAUUUUUUCUUACCCAUUUCAGUUUCACGAUUAACAUUGACCUUAAAGGGAAUCAAUUAUAUCUACCUCCCUUCCUUCAACUACGGGGGAGAUGCACAAUUAACACAAACUGUGUAAGUACUGGUGACUUCCACGACCUCGGUCGAGUAGGCACCCACUCCGUUAUAAUAUGGCUCACAGUCACGGUCCAAGGACACUGCAUGUUAAGUCAUGUGCCCUAAAACCUAACAGUGACCGGCCAGGAGUGGAAACACCAGUUCUGCAGCCUGAAAUCCUAAAGAGUGGGCAGUCUGAAGUACUGAGACCGCAAGGUAAUAAAAAUUUAAAAAAAAAAAAAAAUACGUGCGCAUGAAAACACAUUGCCGCGUGCAUAUUUAAACUGCUAACUGGUAUUCACAAUCAGGACAGAGAGAAAAUACUAGUCAUCAAGGAAGUCCUAUUUAACCAACUAGCACAUGUUAUGUUUAUAUAGCUAUUUCCCCCAUUCAUAAGUCAGCUCGAAUCUCAAGAGCCCUGCACUUGGCUGAGUUCCAGAAGAAGUUCAGGAUUUCAGUGGGCCAAGGCCCGGGACAGGGGAAAAGCAGGUCUGCGUUCUAGAACCAGGAGGCCCUCAGAGACGUCUAAGGGUCACAGAGCUGCAGUCAUCAUCCCUGGGCUACCCCUGACGGCAAGUCCCGGUUUGGCAAAGCCGAAAGGAAAUUACUUCAGAGAAGACGAGACGACACCUACUUUGGGCAAGGGUAUCCUCAUAUCUAACUGCCCGGACUGGAAAAAAGGUGUCAGCGUAUGACUAAAAAGAAUUCAGUGAAACCCCAGUAAACUCUACCCCCAAUGUGGGACUGGAACUCCCCACCAGAGAUCAGGAGUUGCAUGCUGUACUGACUGAGCCAGCGAGGCACCCAUAGAAAUCACCUUUUUCAUCAAAUGGCUUCACCAACCUCUUUAGAAUCCAGUGCACAAGACCAAGGAAGGAAUGGGCCCAGGAAUCCUUUGGAGGAAAUAUGGAGAGCAUUGGCAAUAGUUGUUAAGGGCAGAGCUGGAUGGAGGUCAUGACAGGAAGCAGUGCAAAGUGAAUGCUACAUCAGAAUGUGUCAGUAGUCUCCCUCUCUUACUCCUCUGACAGUCACCACAGAGCAGUCAAUGUUUUGAGAUAGUAGAAUUUUUAUUUUAAUUCUCCAUUAAUUGAUGUGAAUGAUAUAUAAAAACAAAGCGAUUCUAAACCUUAAAUAUUUCUCUGAAGAUAGAUAAAAUCUAUUUCCCCCUUCCCAAGAAGUACGCAUGGGUUGAACUCCAAUGUUGCUGCUUUUGUUUUGCAAUGGUCUGAAGUUCAGUACAGUGAAAUCCAGUUACCCAACUGGAGUUAACUAUACCAAGGCAAUGGAUACCAGCAAGAAAGGUGUGGAAAACAAUGCCGGUACCCAUUUGUUCCUCGGUUGGAUCAGAAGAGUUUCAGUGAUACCAAAUCUUGUGCCGGUUGUGACAUCUGUGUCCAUGAAUAUGCUGACUGUGACUGGGCACCCUUCAUAUGAAGAGAUCUGAGUUCUUCAUGGCAUGCCAGAUGCAGUUGCUAUUAUUGGAUAAUCAUCCAAUUUCUCCAUAUGCCUUCCAAGGGAAAACGAGUCAGUUUCAGGUUACACUCGUUCACAGCAUCAAACUUCCAAGAUGGCUGGAAUUUGGUUCUCUACGAAAACCUUGCAAGGACUGCCUUUAGAAGAUGACGGAAGAGAUCAUCAAAUCGUGGUGCUGGUGUCUGGAGAUCUUUGUUUCUAGUGAACACAAAUAGCCCCCAUCAUCUUUACCCCUCAUGUGCUGGCUAGGAAUGAAGUAAGGGGCGAAAGCUUGUUUUCUUCUCCAAAUGGGCAAGUGUCUUCAUUCAAAAGUAGCAGGGCACCUCUGUGUGGUGCUCACCUUAUGGACUUAGUCAAAAGAACCGGGCAGGCUUUGGAGAAGUAAGAUCUUAGAUUAGAGAAAGAGUGAGGAACAGAAGACCAUCACAAAUGGGAAGAAGAAGAGACAUUUCACUGGAAUCUUAAAGCAAAGUUUAUUGUGGAAAUUUAUGGAACUGGAAAACAACCUCCUGAAAUAAAUGAAAUCUUGAGAACUUAA